rnacentral:Y_RNA from 1 species
GGCUGGUCUAAGGUAGAGUUAUCUCAAUUGCUUGUUUAAGGUUUUAGACCUGAACCCUUGUUCUACUCUUUCCCCCUCCUCACUACUUCACUUGACUAGUCUUGU